rnacentral:rRNA from 1 species
GAACGCGAAGAACCUUACCAGGUCUUGACAUCCCUCUGACCGCUCUAGAGAUAGAGUUUUCCUUCGGGACAGAGGUGACAGGUGGUGCAUGGUUGUCGUCAGCUCGUGUCGUGAGAUGUUGGGUUAAGUCCCGCAACGAGCGCAACCCCUAUUGUUAGUUGCCAUCAUUUAGUUGGGCACUCUAGCGAGACUGCCGGUAAUAAACCGGAGGAGGGUGGGGAUGACGUCAAAUCAUCAUGCCCCUUAUGACCUGGCUACACACGUGCUACAAUGGCUGGUACAACGAGUCGCAAGCCGGUGACGGCAAGCUAAUCUCUUAAAGCCAGUCUCAGUUCGGAUUGUAGGCUGCAACUCGCCUACAUGAAGUCGGAAUCGCUAGUAAUCGCGGAUCAGCACGCCGCGGUGAAUACGUUCCCGGGUCUUGUACACACC